AACGCACAUUCACAAACACAAUUGUUUUAAUUUCAACAGAGAGUUCGUUCACGUCGUGAAAAGAGCUGUGCGAGUUGACGUCACUUCAUUCGCGACGGUGUAGUUUUCACGGAGUCUUUUGCUUUGGGGGCGCUGUGGAACAGCUACAGGCACUUGAAAUCCACGAAGAAGAAGAACCGGAAACUCAAGCCGUCGGGCGCGCUCGUAUUUCGACAAAUGGUUGUCAGGUUUUCAAGUUGGAGCUCUUCAGGCAAACCAACAAGUCUGUUGUUUUCACAAUGCCUCAGUGGACCACGUCUCCCUUCCUCGUGACGUCAUCGGCCAGGCUGGUGUCCGCAUUGGUGUCCGGUGGGGGCGUGUCUCAGGGGAACCACCACCAAACAUUGCAAAAUGGGAAUGGGCUCCAGCGGUCGUUCUCAACUGUUGUCAUCCUGGGGACCCGCAUUUUCCUUUUGUUGCCAAGUCACAACUCGCCUUCAUCGAAGUUAAGAACAAUCUUUUUUUUUUGUUUGUUUGUUUAAAAAAAAAAAAAAAAAAAAAAUAGCCUCUGAACUCGGGGACAGUAUAUUACAUUUUUAAAAUAAAAAAUAUAUAUUAUCGUUUUAUUGUCUGUCUGCAUGAGUUACUACGGCGUUUGUGUGUGAAUAUUUUAUUUGAAGGUAAAUCCCUCCCGUGAUCUAAUGCUAAUGUUAGCGAGCCCUUCAAUAGUCUUUUCCGUUGACUGAUAACAUAAGCUGCCGAUUUCUAAAACGAUGUGCAUCUAGUAUUUAAAUAUACAACGUGUGCAAUUGGUUUUUGUUGCGCGUUUAGUUUUACAGUCAACUCCACCUGGGGUGUCCAUUAACAGCUUCAAGCAUGCUCGGGGAAAACAAAAGAACACGCGCCGCACACUUGCUACAAGCAACACAGGGUGCGUUCAGGGUGCAUUUACAACGCAGGAACCUGCAUACCUAACCCGCACCGCGGCAUAUUAAUUGUUUUUCUACGAUCACUGCGGCUAUCCCGCACGCAGUUUGCCUUUAUACUCGAGCGCAACCCACACGCGCUGUUUUUUUAAGUGUGCUGCAGUUCUCGCAGCAUGUGACUAAAACGCACCAAUCACGAGAGAUGAUCUCCCAGCAUUCUACGCGCAGCAACAAUUUUAGCCGUGUGCGCGUCAAGCGACGCAGAGGGGCCGCGCGGGCCAAUCCGAGGCCUUAACGAGCAAAGGAGCUCGUGAAGUCAUCAGGUCCUUUUGGCUGGACGACGGGAACACAUCCCCCAUACUGCUCACCCGAUCGUAUCAGCUUUUUGGACCCUUUAAGAGGAGGAGCUCAGCACUUCUCUGAUGAACAAGUUAAGGAAGCUGUUUUUAAAACAAAAAAAACAAAAACAAAAAACAUGUUAAAUGCACAGCCUAGUGACUUUGACGAGGCUGGCAAACGCAUGAUGGUUCAUGGCUGGACAGUUGGUGUUGAGAAAAAAGACAUUGAAAAGUAGCCAUCAAAUUCCCACUUUUUGGGUUUGAUUUCUAUGCGUAUGUUAUAUUAUAUUUCUUACUACAUAAGAAAAUUGGGCUCAUGUCUUCUUGACUGCCCUUCGUAUGAGCAGCUGUUA